rnacentral:rRNA from 1 species
AGCGAACGCUGGCGGCGUGCUUAAACACAUGCAAGUCGAGGGAGAACGGAGGGCUUCGGCCUUCCUAGUAAAACCGGCGCACGGGUGAGUAACACGUAGGUAACCUACCCCCGAGCUCGGGAUAAACCUGUCGAAAAGAUAGGCUAAUACCGGAUGAGACCACGUUGGUUUCGGCCAAUGCGGUCAAAGAUGGCCUCUAUUUAUACGCUAUCACUCGAGGAUGGGCCUGCGCACCAUUAGCUAGUUGGUGAGGUAACGGCUCACCAAGGCUACGAUGGUUAGUUGGUCUGAGAGGAUGACCAGCCACACUGGGACUGAGACACGGCCCAGACUCCGUA